rnacentral:rRNA from 1 species
AGAUUGAACGCUGGCGGAAUGCUUUACACAUGCAAGUCGAACGGCAGCACGGGACUCAGGCAACUGAGCCCUGGUGGCGAGUGGCGAACGGGUGAGUAACAUAUCGGAACGUACCCAGUCGUGGGGGAUAACUCUCCGAAAGGAGAGCUAAUACCGCAUACGUCCUGAGGGAGAAAGCGGGGGACCUAAGGGUAACUGAGGGCCUCGCGCGAUUGGAGCGGCCGAUAUCGGAUUAGCUAGUUGGUGAGGUAAAGGCUCACCAAGGCGACGAUCCGUAGCGGGUCUGAGAGGACGACCGGCCACACUGGAACUGAGACACGGUCCAGACUCCUACGGGAGGCAGCAGUGGGGAAUUUUGGACAAUGGGGGCAACCCGUGAUCCAGCCAUCCCGCGUGUGCGAUGAAGGCCUUCGGUGUAAAGCUACUUUGUCGAGGAAGAAACGGCGUACCCUUAAGUACGGGCGUCGACGUGACGGUACCGUAGCAGAAUAAGAC